UCAGAACCAAUAGGGAGAACAUCGGAGCUGGAAUUGGUUUUGCUAACAUUUGGUCUGGUAUAAGGAGGGGGAAUUGAACUAUAACUGAAAUGCCUCUUGUCAUCAUUCACUUCUUCCUCGGAUGAACUCGUUACAGAAUCCGAACUAUUCUGUCCAUUUUGUGUAUCAUUAUUGGGGCGUUGCCAACUUUUGUGGCCAUCAUAUAAAACUUUCUCUAUUCCGGUAGAUGUAACGUCCUGCUUCUUUCCUCCUGCAGUGUCCCUCAGAUUGUUUUGCUUGUAGUAAGUGGUAUUCUUGGACCCGUCCUGCAAAAUACAUGUAGCAUUGGCAUUACGUUCGCUAAAUACAUCAACAAUGCUCAAUUAACUUUAGCUUUAGCUUUGACCCCCAAGAGCACACCCACAUAAACAAUUUCUUCCAUCCACCAAGAAUGCUAACAAAUAAGGUAUUAUAUAAUCAAUUAGAAGCAUAAAGGGUCAAGUCUAUAACUUGCUCCUAAAGGAAAAAAAUCACCUGUUGAGGUGCAGGUGGCUUAUACAGCCUCUGCUCCAAAGCCUUUGAAUCCCAUUCUAUGCCAAACUCGUGGGCUAUAUCAUGCAUCAAUUGAAACUUCUUAUCUUUUGAAGGAGGCGCUGACUUCAACUUUGCAGCAAACUAGCACAAGUAGUUGGAAUUUUAGUUUAAUAACAAAUUAGGGCAAGAAACAAAGAAUUGUAUCGUAUGAAGUUGGUCAUUUAUUAUUAAAGCAUGACCAUGAAUGAGCACCUCUUUAUUGACAGAAGAUUCAACUGAAUUCCCAUAUCUCUCAGCAAAUAGGCUUCUGAGUUCACGUAGCUCUGGUAAAUCAGCAAAUCUUGCUGCUGCAAACAUCAGAGUCGAUACAGCAUCCCUGCAUUCCUCGGGGCAUUCCCUAUAAAUAAAAAAAAGAACAUCCAUUGAGAAUAAUGAAUUUAUAUCAUGUUAAAACUCAAAAUUACUAUUAAAUGACGUCGUGAGAAAGAAGAAGUAAUAAAUUAUAAAUUUCCCCAUGUGUCUAAUUUUGUUAAAAGAAUUUCAUCAAAUAAAUCUGACACGAAUAUAUUUAUUACUAUUUCAGGUGAAUGAAUCUGAACCCCAAUUAACCGCCAUCCGAGGCCUCAAUCUUCGUAACGCACAUUGAGUAACAAAAGAAGCAGUUCGCAUGAAAUCAUAUCAUUUGAUUAAUUUUGAAAUAUCAUAUCAUUAGAAAAUUGAAAAUAUAUUUUCUCAGAAAAACAUCAAAAAACAAAUUUGAAAAUCACAAUUGUUAUGAACAUUUAAAUAUGUGCGAAAACAACUUGGCAUCAAACUUAACCAAAAUUACCUCUGCUUACUCAUGACGGAAAGAUGAUCUGAGAUACACCCACAAGACUGCUCAACAAACUCAUAACAUGAUGAGAGAUUCAACUCCACCAGAAACCCUUCAGCCUGAACCACCAUUCACAUAUGAGCAUGAUACCAAACAUGAAUCAAUAAUCAGAAUGAAAAUUAACCAGAAUCUUCAAAUACAAAUACUCAAUUAUUAUGAUACCCGUUAAAGCGAAAAGAGAAAUACCCUGCCAUAGGCAUUAAAAUCAAGACCAUUUUUAAGAAGAUCCGCAAUAUCAUUUUUCAAAUAUUUCUGCAUCGCAUUUCUCUUCCUCUUUAUCAUUUCAAGUCGCGUCCUUGUGGGCUUUAUUGACGACUUGCUGUAUCAAUAACACCCAGAAGAAGAAAGAGAAGAAACAUAAUUAAAACACUGAAUGUCAAAAUUAAAGUAAAAUAAUUGUCAAGUGGAUAAAAGAAAAUAAUUCAAGCUUCGGGGUCUAACCAUUUGGUCUGAAACUUGCUUUUCAACAAUCCGUCAAACAUCUUGUUAAGGAAUCUUUAUCAGCAGCAGCGUAUUUUGAGCAAUAUAUAUGAAGAACAACGGUUCCUUAAAUGCAAAUCAAGAUACGUCAAGAAUCAGAGCAUUGAACCCGUUUAAAAGAAAAGAAAACGAACUAGUGUUUCGAGAGAGAAACCCAAGAAUAAUCAAGAAUAUCUAGAUCGGAGUUAAAGAAGCUCAAAUGGAGUGGAUGAUAUAAUAAUAAUAGAGCUAUUUAAAAAAGGAGAAUUGUUUGUAGAGAGACGAUUGGAAAUACAGAGUAUCUAAAUAGACAUUAAUGGGCUAAGAAAAGGAAAUGAAUCGGUUGUAGAUAGAGAGAGAGAGAUGGGAUGGGAAUAAGAAUACAGAAUCUGCAAACUGGAAACUGGAAACUGGAAACAGGGGGAUUUGUACUAGUCACAAGUUUGGUUAGCCACGUUGGAUUUUCUCUCUCCAAAAAACAACAAGGUGGUGCGUUAAUUGACUAAAAUGCCCAUUGGGUGGCGGGAAAAUAGAGGGCAAUUGGGGAAACGGAAAAUGUGAAGUGUAAAGGGUUACUUAUCGAAUACGAAGACGGCGGGGGCCAAACGAUGGAGAAGAAAAUGAGAGACCAUAGAGUAGAUAUCGCGGGAGACAACCGUCGAGGUUUCAGCCGUUGAUAGUGUGAAUUUAAUGAACCUUAAUUCUUUUUUAUCCAGUCAUUUAUCUACUUACUGAUUUAAGUAGAAAUAUUAAAUGAUUUUUUUUCCUUCUUAUAGUAUAUGAUUUCAUAAAAAAAGAUAAAAAUAUUUUGUCAGACCAUAUUUUAAUAAUAAUUCCCAAAAUCCCUCCUUCCUAUAUUUAAUUUAAUUUAAUUACUCCUCCUAAUUCUUACACCUACCAACUACUAGUAAGAAAGAAUUUAUACUACUAGUAUUUUUGUAAAAUUAACAAAAUAUUAAAACUAUUGUUAUUUUAAAAAUAGUAAGUACUUACUAAAUGAGAAGUGGACUGUUCAAAUGAGUUUUGGACGUUAGUAUUUACUAAGCUAAAUAUAAUUAAUAUUCUAAUAAUAGUUUAAUCAGCUUUUUUAUUUUUAUUUUAAAGAAAAUUAAAAUAAAUGACAGACCAAUUAGGUGACAAUAGAGAAGCAAAAUGAUUUAAAAAAGCAUAAAUACAAAUUUAAUACUAGAAGAAUGGGAAUUAGUCAUGUAAUAAUGUCCAACUUGAGGAAUAAUAAUAAGAUAAGAAGGAAAAAGAGAAUUGAUAAGGUAAGUAUUGAGAUAAUGAUGGUCCUGUCCGGUCCUGGUUGGAGAAGAUUAUCCAAGACAUUCCUUUAUUUGUGGAGAUAAAAGAGGGGAAAUUGACUGUCCAUUUGAUUUGGCCAACCUCAUUUACAAUUUUCCAAAUAAAAUUAAAAGAAAAACAACAAAUAAUGCAAGUAGUACUACAUAGUGUAAUGUGGCAGGUGUCAAAACAUAAUUGGUUGGUUAGUAAGAAAGUUAGUACUAGUCAAAAGUGGAGCAGGAAUAGUAUGAGAGCAGAUCAUCUGUUCUCAAAUUUUCUGUUUUUCUUAUGUCCAUUUAAAUUUUAACACAUGUUUUUUUAUUUAAUUUUAAAAUUAAUUAAUAUUAAAUAAGAGACUAUGCCUCAAAAUUUAAAUAAAAAGACAAAAAAAUAAAAUAAUUGAGGACAGAAGAUUUGCUAGUAUUAAUAUUAAUAUUAGUACGCUAACUUACGACUCCAUUAGUCGCCGGCCCCAGCCCCAGCCCUCGCUAGUUUUAGGCUUUCUUUUUGGGAGUAUUUAAUUAAUUACCUAAACUUAAAAAGUAUCGAAUCUUUGCCAGUUGUUUAUGUACUACUCCUACUACUUUUUCGGCCACUGCCCAUUGUCCUUCUAUCCACUUCGAUUCCGUUGGCAUAAAGUUUCCACCCCCGCGACGCAUUAAUAUAUUUAUAAAUUAAUAAUAGCCUAGAUUUAUUCGGCCAACACAAAACACGCUCUGUUUUUAUUUCUCAAUCUACUCAUACAUAUAUAUGUAUUGACAUAUUUAGACUUUAAUAUGGAUGAUAAUUACAGUAAUAUUAUACCCUAUGACCCCAAAAUAUAUGUGGACCCGUCACCAAAAUUAUGAAUAGUUUUAAAAUAUUAUCGAAUAGAUAAUAUGUCGUAUUAAAUUUAUAGUUACGCAUUUUAUAUAAAAAUAUGAUAUAUAUAUAUUUAUUGUUAACGUCAAGAUCUUCUUCCACGUCUCAAUCAUCAAGACGCGUCCGAUAUCCUGCACAGUAAACACAGUCAACACCAAAAGCUUGACGGCUUGACCGUCGGGGGAUAGCUCCGGCGUGAGAGUCAGUACAAGCGAUCACAAGGUUAACAAUAGAGGGAUAAAUAUCUAGUGACUUGAGAGUAAUAAUUAAUUAGUUCCCUUUCACCGUGUGUCAUCCAUGCUUUAUAUCCUCAAAGUCCGGUUUGUCCUGUAUGCAACUGACUUUCCUGGGCCCACCUCCUUUAGCCGACUAAGCCCUGUCCAAUCCUCAUUAAAUGCAAUGUAGAGAUGACAGUCAAAGUUUUAUCCCCAAUCUACACCGGUCAAAGCCCCCAAGUGAAACCACACUCAUCUAGUAAUCUGGCCCACUACUACAGCCCAAUACUUCAUAGGCCCCAAAAUAAAGAUAAUAUCCACCCAAUGGGCUGGCCCAAUGAACCGGCCUAAUACUUUCAAGACCCACCUCAACAUGUCUAAAGUAUUAUGGCCCAAUAUUGCCCCCCAGUCUUUUAUUAAACAGGAGGUUUAAUGAAAGAGUAUAAGUGGAAUCGGUCCAGAAUAAAAGGAAUUAUAAUGAGAUCAACAAAGGCCUAAGAUACAACUUACCGAGGCCCAAAAGAGAAGCCCACUCCGGUUAACAAUGAAGACUAAAAUCGCACGCUACUUCUUUAACUUCACAAUCACUUCCGAUCAACGAAAAGUUGAAUAGAACUCUAGUAUAAAAGUUGUUUUCUCCCAAAUCUGACAGUUUUACCAAAUAAAUUCGAAAUUCGGAUAUUCCUUACUCCUCUUCUUCUCCAAAUUUCUCUCUGCAACUAAUUAACAAUGGCUUCUCAGAAUACUAAUCAAAAUUCUCCACUUCGCAUAGCCCCCACUACCAUUGUUCUUCCCAAUCCGAUCUCUAGCAAAAAAGAGGCUCUGAGAUGCUGAACAAACAAUCUUCCAAACCUAAUGCCAGGUUCGAGAGGCGAGCAUUAAUGGACACUCCUUCGAGCAACCAAGGAUGGUAUAAGGAGUGGUUUUUUGUCAAAGGACCCGAAGUCUCCUCCAUACCUAACUAGAUCACUUCCGAUCGUAUCUCUGCAAACUUCAGAAGUAUUUCAACGGAACGAGUGAGAGAAAUGGCGAGCCUUCUAGAGAAGAUUCACAUUAAGGAAGGGAGCUUCGAACUUCUGAGUAAACAAGCAUGAUUGUAUAACCAUAACUGUAAGUCUCGAACCCACUCUAUUGUUUAAAUCCCAAUUUCCAUCAGUAGUUCUCGUAAAUAAUUUUUCUUCAUCUGUUGCAGUGUCUCUGAUCAAACCAACGUCAAUCGACCGAAGGGAUCUAGACAGAUUUCUUUCUGGUACAUCUUCGCCAACCUCUACCGAUGUACCAACUGAAGAGCUUCAAGCCACCGAAUCAAUUCCUAUUGAAGGGACAAACCAACCUCGCCGAAGAAAGCAAGCUGGUCAAAAACCCAAACACACCCCCACGCAAAAUCACACCGAGUGCCUCCUCGAUAUGCCCUCUAACGAACGAACCCGAAUCUUUCGGGUCAAAAAGAAAAAAACCCAAGCAAAUUCUCCGGCCUCCGAAGGACCACAAGUACCUCUAACAGAAACCGAUCCUCUGCCAACCUCCCUGGUUGAAAUCGUUGUUUCUAACGAAGAGCCCGAAGAACAAGUGGUACGAUCACCCAAACUUGCUCGAAAAAGACAACCAACCUCCUCGGACUUCAGGCCCGAAGAGAACUUCCCAUUUGAGCUCUACAACUCCUUCGUCCAUAAUACCGACAACCACCAGUUCAGCAAUAGCUCUAUCAUGGACCUGAUCAACGAGGGACUGAAGUACCAAGCUAGAGUAAGCUUAACUUAUCCAUUUACAUCUCGGCCCAUUAAUUUUGAACUGAUAGACUAACACUGAUCAUCCGCAGGCAAGCACUGUCUUCGGAUGCCUCCGCCCCAAAUACCAAGAGGCCGAAGCCGAAGAGAAAGCUGCUCGAAGAGAGAAUACCCUGCUUAAGUCUGCUUUGACGAAAGAUAGAAGUAGUCUCAAAGUUGCUUUUCACGAUAAUGAGUGCCUUCAGAAAGACCUUGCCCAAACCAAAGAAGAUUUGAAAACGUCCCUGGCCACUCACCAAGUCAUCACUGAUAUAAAUAUUGAUCUGUCAAGCUAAAGGAUCAAAGCAUCUGGUACAUCGUCAGAAGCUCGAAGAAGAGCUCAAAGAGCUUCGGGCCCUUAAGAAUUUGAGUCCGCCACUGACCGAAGACUUUCGUAGGGAUAUCCAGGCAGAAUACAGAAAAUCCGCCGAGCUGAACAAUAAGAUCGUCCAUAUGUAUGCGAAAGGAUAUGAAAUCUGCCGAAGUAAAGGCAAGAAAAAGCUCGGGCCAAGGUAGAUCCAUCUCUUCUAGACUCUUUAGAUGGUGACGAUGACAAGGAAGAAGCCUGAAGAUGACCUCUCCUUAUCUCUAGUUGUAGAACUUUCUGUGAAAAUUCUAACUUUAUGUAAACAGUUAAUAUUUAAUGAAAUAUCAACUUCAUGCCUUAUUACUUCU
rnacentral:lncRNA from 1 species